rnacentral:rRNA from 1 species
CCUANGGGGGGCUGCAGUCGAGAAUCUUUCGCAAUGGGGGAAACCCUGACGACGCGACGCCGCGUGGAGGAUGAAGGCCUUCGGGUUGUAAACUCCUGUCAGCAGGGGAGAACAAGUUGCCGGUGAAUAAUCGGCGACUUUGACAGUACCUGCAGAGGAAGCCACGGCUAACUCUGUGCCAGCAGCCGCGGUAAUACAGAGGUGGCAAGCGUUGUUCGGAUUUAUUGGGCGUAAAGGGUCCGUAGGCGGCCUGGAAAGUCGGAUGUGAAAUCCCACAGCUUAACUGUGGAACUGCAUUCGAAACUUCUAGGCUCGAGUGUGAUAGGGGUAAAGGGAAUUCCCGGUGUAAGGGUGAAAUCUGCAGAGAUCGGGAGGAACACCAGUCGCGAAGGCGCUUUACUGGAUCACUACUGACGCUGAGGGACGAAAGCCAGGGGAGCAAACGGGAUUAGAUACCCGUNUANUC